UGGUUUGGGUUGUGUUUAAGGUUUGGUUUAGAAUAAUGUUUAGGAUUAUAGGGUUUAGGGUUUGUUUGUUUUUUUGUUUAUGCAUUUAGUGCUGAGUUUUUGGGAUAAAAUUUUAUAUUAAUAUUAUUGAUUCGUAAUUUAUCUUAAAAUGUUAAAAAAUUUAACGUGAUUUUUAAUGUUCUUAAAACAAAGUAUGUAUUUUUAUUAAGUUUUUUGUGACAAUAAGUUAAAUAUAUCUUAGAUCACAAAUCAUAAAUAUUCUUAGUAUUAUACAUUUUGUUCUUCAAGUUAUUGUUUCUUUUAUUUUUUUUAUACAUUUCUCUUAAUAUUUAUGUAUGCAUCCAUAAUAUUUUUUAAAAAGGAUUUUUCA
rnacentral:lncRNA from 1 species